rnacentral:rRNA from 1 species
AACGAACGCUGGCGGCAUGCCUAACACAUGCAAGUCGAACGAGACCUUCGGGUCUAGUGGCGCUCGGGUGCGUAACGCGUGGGAACCUGCCCUUAGGUUCGGAAUCACUCCCCGAAAGGGGUGCUAAUACCGGUUAAUGUCUUCGGACCAAAGAUUUAUCGCCUUUGGAUGGGCCCGCGUUGGAUUAGCUAGUUGGUAGGGUAAAAGCCUACCAAGGCGACGAUCCAUAGCUGGUCUGUGAGGAUGAUCAGCCACACUGGGACUGAGACACGGCCCAGACUCCGACGGAGGGCAGCAGUGGGGAAUAUUGGGCAAUGGGCGAAAGCCUAAUCCAGCAAUGCCGCGUGAGUGAUGAAGGCCUUAGGGUUGUAAAGCUCUUUUACCCGGGAUGAUAAUGACAGUACCGGGAGAAUAAGCUCCGGCUAACUCCGUG